AUUGAACGCUGGCGGCAGGCCUAACACAUGCAAGUCGAACGAGUGGCGGACGGGUGAGUAAUAUCUCGGAACCUGCCUGAUGGUGGGGGAUAACUACCGGAAACGGUAGCUAAUCCCGCAUACCAUUGGAUGUGCCUACAUGGGAUGAGCUAGUUGGUGGGGUAACGGCUCACCAAGGCAACGAUCCCUAGCUGGGCUGAGAGGAUGACCAGCAACACUGAAACUGAGACACGGUCGAGACUCCAGCGGGAGGCAGCAGUGGGGAAUAUUGGACAAUGGGCGCAAGCCGGAUACAGGCAUGCCGCGUGUAUGAAGAAGGCCUUCGGGUUGUAAAGUACUUUCGGCGGGGAGGCGUUACCCGCAGAAGAAGCACCGGCUAACUACGUGCCAGCAGCCGCGGUAAUAC
rnacentral:rRNA from 1 species